UUACUCCUCAGAGAAAGAUACACUCCAUAGGUACAAAUUGUUUAUGCAAUGUGCUCUGAAAUGUGGUGAAAGGUAUGUAGUACACUUUAAUAAGGAGGACCCCGACAAAAGAUUGAUGUGUUUUCUCGAUUCACAUAGUGCCGAUGAUCUCACCAAUGAUCGUUCUCACUUCCAUUCCCUGUCAACAUUACUAUUGUAAGAGACAAUCAUGAAACAAAUCCACAUUCUUUUGUGAUCAAGGAACCAUGGGACUCUGAUGCGGAAUUGUUUCGGUUGUUCAAACUUUGGAGCAAGAAUUAUGGUAAAGUAUACUUAUACUCUUAGAAAUGAGUAUUGGGUCUAACUCAUCCUUACAAAACCAGCUUGUAAAGUGAGGAUUGCCUCUAGUAUAUAAACACUUAGUCAAACUAUCUCUCAAUCGAUGUGAGACUCUUAACAUAUACUACUAUAAUCAACAACCUGGCUUGUCGUCCGAUGAAACUACAACGAAUAAUCCUGGCAAUGAAUAUUUUCCUGACCAUCCGCUUUCAGAAUCAACAUUUUCCAGAGACGAUGAUCAAACAAAUCCAAUUUCUUUCAAGAUGAUGGAGGCGUCCAAUGUGGUGUUAAACUUCUUUGAAGUUUUCGAACAUUGGAACCUGGAAUAUCACAAAACAUACUCCUCAAAUCAAUGUAAACUUGAUACUUCUUCUAUUUGUUCAAACUUUGGCACAAAGAAUAUCUCAAGGCAUGCUCCUUGGAGGAAGAUUCAGGGUUUUCAUAGUAGAGCUCAUAAACGAGACUUCACUUAUGGUAUUUGGGCAGUUAAUACGAUAUCACGUCUCAGAAAUGACGA